ACGAACGCUGGCGGCGUGCUUAACACAUGCAAGUCGCACGCUGAAGCUCAGCUUUUGUUGGGUGGAUGAGUGGCGAACGGGUGAGUAACACGUGAGUAACCUGCCUCCUUCUUUGGGAUAACGCCCGGAAACGGGUGCUAAUACUGGAUAUUCACUGGUCUUCGCAUGGGGGUUGGUGGAAAGGGUUUUUCUGGUGGGGGAUGGGCUCGCGGCCUAUCAGCUUGUUGGUGGGGUGAUGGCCUACCAAGGCUUUGACGGGUAGCCGGCCUGAGAGGGUGACCGGUCACAUUGGGACUGAGAUACGGCCCAGACUCCUACGGGAGGCAGCAGUGGGGAAUAAUGCACAAUGGGCGCAAGCCUGAUGCAGCGACGCCGCGUGAGGGAUGGAGGCCUUCGGGUUGUGAACCUCUUUCGCUCAUGGUCAAGCCGCAACAAUGGUUGUGGUGAGGGUAGUGGGUAAAGAAGCGCCGGCUAACUACGUG
rnacentral:rRNA from 1 species